rnacentral:lncRNA from 1 species
UACAGACCAGUACCGUCCAUGGCCUGUUAGGAACCGGGCUGCACAGCAGGAG